CACGUAGGGCGCAAGCGUUGUCCGGAAUUAUUGGGCGUAAAGAGCUCGUAGGCGGUCUGUUGCGUCUGCUGUGAAAACUCGGGGCUUAACCCCGAGCCUGCAGUGGAUACGGGCAGACUAGAGGUAGGUAGGGGAGAAUGGAAUUCCCGGUGUAGCGGUGAAAUGCGCAGAUAUCGGGAGGAACACCGGUGGCGAAGGCGGUUCUCUGGGCAUUACCUGACGCUGAGGAGCGAAAGUGUGGGGAGCAAACAGG
rnacentral:rRNA from 1 species